UAUAGUUGUAUAGCCUCGUCUUUUAUUUUCCAUCACUCGAUCAAAUGGUUGGUAUUUAGCAGGUUUAUUCUUCAUAUAAACUCAUCUUUGUAAGAGCAUCACAACCUAGUAUGUAGUUAAGAAUAUUAGCCUCAUCUUAUAUUUAUAUUCCCACCAUUACCAUGUUACUCUUCCCUUUCUCCAUACGAUGCUACGAACGAAACCAGGUAAGAACUCCCAAUCUUCGCCAUCACAAAAUCCUAAUA
rnacentral:lncRNA from 1 species